UACGUAGGGAGCAAGCGUUGUCCGGAAUCAUUGGGCGUAAAGCGCGCGUAGGUGGCUUCGUAAGUCCGUUGUGAAAGUCAAAGGCUCAACCUUUGAAAGCCGAUGGAUACUGUGAAGCUAGAGUACGGUAAGAGGCGAGUGGAAUUCCUGGUGUAGCGGUGGAAUGCGCAGAUAUCAGGAGGAACACCAGUAGCGAAGGCAGCUCGCUGGACGUUACUGACACUGAGGCGCGAAAGCGUGGGGAGCGAACAGG
rnacentral:rRNA from 1 species